CGGCGGCCGGCGCACGGGUGAGUAACGCGUAUCCAACCUUCCGUACACUCAGGGAUAGCCUUUCGAAAGAAAGAUUAAUACCUGAUGGUAUGAUGAGAUUGCAUGAUAGCAUCAUUAAAGACUUAUCGGUGUACGAUGGGGAUGCGUUUCCAUUAGGUAGUAGGCGGGGUAACGGCCCACCUAGCCAACGAUGGAUAGGGGUUCUGAGAGGAAGGUCCCCCACAUUGGAACUGAGACACGGUCCAAACUCCUACGGGAGGCAGCAGUGAGGAAUAUUGGUCAAUGGACGAGAGUCUGAACCAGCCAAGUAGCGUGAAGGAUGAAGGUCCUACGGAUUGUAAACUUCUUUUAUAAGGGAAUAAACCCUCCCACGUGUGGGAGCUUGUAUGUACCUUAUGAAUAAGCAUCGGCUAACUCCGUGCCAGCAGCCGCGGUAAUACGGAGGAUGCGAGCGUUAUCCGGAUUUAUUGGGUUUAAAGGGGGCGCAGACGGGUCGUUAAGUCAGCUGUGAAAGUUUGGGGCUCAACCUUAAAAUUGCAGUUGAUACUGGCGUCCUUGAGUGCGGUUGAGGUGUGCGGAAUUCGUGGUGUAGCGGUGAAAUGCUUAGAUAUCACGAAGAACUCCGAUUGCGAAGGCAG
rnacentral:rRNA from 1 species